CUGCUCUGUGCUGCAUGCCGACCAUCAGCUCCAAUGCCCACUGCCGCUAGAGAAAACAGACCAGAAGAGCAGUCGUGGCUCCUUCUAUCAUGUCUUAAGCUUUACAAGAUUGGUUUGAAAACUAGGCUUCUAUGAAGCACUUUUGGAUUGAGCUGCAUUGUGAUAAUUUUGGACUGAAAUAAAUUUGGAAACCAUGAGAGCACAUUAAGGAAUUUCACUGGGAGAACUGGAACCCAAGUCUAAUGGCAGAUGAGGACAGAAAAACAAAUUAACAGACAAUUACCAUACAAUGCUAAGCGAAGAAAAAACAGUCUUGUGAGAACUUGGAGGAAGGCCUCUGAAUCUAAUCCAUGAUAUUCUUCUAGAACACAAGACGUCACUUUGGUCAAAUCAUUCUACAUAGAGCAAUCAGCUUCCCCAUCCAUCCUGCAUGUGGGAGUAAGGAUAAGGCUGGGAAAAAUAAACAGUGUUAUCCUGGAAUGAUCACAGAGUGGAGUAAAUGAAACCACUGAGCAAACACAUUCUGCACACCUACAAUGUUCCAGGCACUGUGGCCCGUGCUGGAUAUAGAAAUGAAAAUGGAUUCCAUGUCCUCAAAUCGUCUAGUCUCACAAAGGAAGAGAUGAGAAAGGAGAAAAUUGCAGUGUGGCAGUGUUUAAAGUGUCCCUAACCCAGUCCUACUGCUGAAGUGCUGUCUAGGAUCCCUACGGGCAAGAAGGCUGUGAUGGAGACAAUAUGUGUGUCAGAGGAUCUUCAUUCAAGCAUGGGUGCUGUUGUCUAGCAAUCACAGAAAAUCCGAAAGGCUGUCUACAAGCCAGAGAGGCCUGGAACAGAUCCUGCCCUCGCAGCCCUCAGAAGGAACGAGCCCUGUCAGCAACUUGAUUUAGGACCUCCAGACUCCAGACUGGGAGAGAAUAAACUUCUGUUGUUUAAGCCACUCUAUUUAUGGUGC